GGAUGUGCUUUGUGAUGGGGGUACCGGCACUUGCUGAGGGAUGGGGUGGGGAGUGAUAGGCCGGAGACGGGAGGGCCCUCCCAGGUUUCUGGCUCGUGCAGCCUAGCGGAUGGAGGUGCCACGGCCAGGAGAAGGAGCAGGUCAGGGACUCCCAGCCAGGCCUGAUGGGAGCCCUGGCGAGCCUUUGGCUCUGAUCCAUGCGAGGCUCUGGGACUCAGGAGCCCUGAGUGGCCUGUCUACAUUGGAUGUCAAGCCAUAUGGCCUCCAGAUGUUUCCUGAUCAUUGAAGAAUGUGAGUCCUGGGCAAGUGGGCCCAUGGCCAUGGGCAUGGUGAGCUGCUCGGCUCCACCAGAAGGGGCCCUGGGCUCCCUAGUGUCUUACUCAGGGGAAUGGACCUGGAUGCAAAGCCUGCUGGUCCUCCACAGCUGGGCCAGCAGGGGAAGCCUGGAUCUCGUUGGGGGGUGGGGUGGGGUAGUGAAUGGUGGGGGCAAGGAGCACUGUCCCUGGAGUCAGACAGACCUGGGUUCAAAUUCUGGCUCUCCCACAUACUGGCUUGAUGUUGGGCAACGGGGCCUCUCUGAGCCUCAGUCUCCCCAUCUGUGAAUGGAAAUAAUGAUAAUUCCUACCUCCUUAUAGGCUUGUUGGAAAGGCUAAAAUUAGGGAACAUGCAUGAAAUAGCUCAGCACAUAGUAAAUUCUCAAUAAAUUUUAAGUGUUGUUGUUGGUAUUAUUAUUAUUAUUAUUAUUAUUAUCAUUACUGUUAUUAUAGAUCUUGCACACAACGGUAAAUAUUCUACUUCCAGACCUUUGCAAAUGCUGUUUUCCCCCCUCAGAAUGUCCUGGUCCUGUUGGUUUACUCAGUGUCCACGUCAGGGAUCUUAUCUUGGAAGCCCCUCCAGGCUCACCCCGGCACCCAGCCGACUUGAUUCAUCGGUCUGUGUACCGCCCUAUGCCUGGUGUACCCUCUUCACGGCACUGGCUCACCAAUGGCUGUCUCUCCUCUCCUAGACUGGCCACCAGGGGUGCUGGGUCUGACUUUUCUCUGUGUCUCCAGGGCCCAGCCAGGGGCCCCCAGAAACCCCCAUACCAUGCUUUUUGGCUCCUUACUUGAACUCUGGCUCUCUCUACCCUCAGAUGCUGAAUGAACCCUCUGGGCUCAGCAUUGGGAGGCCUGGGCAGGGCCCGGCAGUGAGGUGUGGGAUGUCAGCUGAAGAGGGCAGGAUCCAGGAUCCACACUGGCCUGGGCUGGGCUAGGUGUGAAGAAGGGGGCCGGAAGGCCCAAGAAGAGCUGACGUACCUAUGAUGGAGGAGACGGAGGUUGAGCCCACAUGAGCGAGAGAGGUGGUGGCCAUCUUGCUUGUGGCCCCCUUGAACGCAAAUACAGAAUUAAUGUCCAUUCACGCCAUCUUCACUGUUCCAGCUCAUUGGAAGAUUAAAUAAAAACCCGCGCCACCCUCCCCCCACCCCCGCCCCCCACAUGGAGGGAGACCAGCCCCGUUCUUUCUGGCUGGGCUGGCUGCCUGAAGCCAGCACAGGAAAUAAAUCUCUCAGAGAAAACCACUUUGCUCACACGAUUUCAAUCCAACAGGGCAUAGUGGCCCCAGUCACUUCUUGUUUUAUUUAGCUGAUAAUCUUUUAUUGUAUCAGGAGACCCUCCCAGAAGCACCAUGUCUCUACAGAUCCGAGGCCUCCCCAGACCGCUGGGCCAGGCCUCCUGAGUGGAGCACAUGCUCCCCCCCAUCUCCCGAGUGUCUUCCCCUUUCUGCACGCCACAGUGCCAAGGACCCCGGAGGGUGGAUUCUCGGGUCCCAGGGCACCAGGGAAGGGACGGGCAGUGGCCGCCUCCAGCUCCAGUGCCCAGACCCAGGCCUCUAUGGACCUCUGGGCCUCCAAUGGCAGCAUUUUGUGUUCUGGGUACCAACUCAAGGAGGCUCAUCCGCCAGUGAGGCUGGGGGCAAAGUCCAACCGAGGCAUCACUCACUCACUCAGCAAAUAUUUAUCGUGGGCCUUCUCUGUGCCAGACUCCGGGAAUAAGAAGUGACGAGACAGACAGGUUCCUGCCGUCUGUAGUUAUGGCCUUUCCUGGAGUAAAGCCUUUGUUUUACUGUA